rnacentral:rRNA from 1 species
GUAGCGGUGAAAUGNGUAGAUAUAUGGAGGAACACCAGUGGCGAAAGCGGCUCUCUGGUCUGUCACUGACGCUGAGGCUNGAAAGCGUGGGUAGCGAACAGGAUUAGAUACCNUGGUAGUCCACGCCGUAAACGAUGAGUGCUAGGUGUUAGGCCCUUUCCGGGGCUUAGUGCCGGAGCUAACGCAAUAAGCACUCCGCCUGGGGAGUACGACCGCAAGGUUGAAACUCAAAGGAAUUGACGGGGGCCCGCACAAGCGGUGGAGCAUGUGGUUUAAUUCGAAGCAACGCGAAGAACCUUACCAGGUCUUGACAUCCCGAUGCUAUUCUUAGAGAUAGGAAGUUACUUCGGUACAUCGGAGACAGGUGGUGCAUGGUUGUCGUCAGCUCGUGUCGUGAGAUGUUGGGUUAAGUCCCGCAACGAGCGCAACCCUUAUUGUUAGUUGCCAUCAUUAAGUUGGGCACUCUAGCGAGACUGCCGGUAAUAAACCGGAGGAAGGUGGGGAUGACGUCAAAUCAUCAUGCCCCUUAUGACCUGGGCUACACACGUGCUACAAUGGUCGGUACAACGAGUUGCGAGCCGGUGACGGCAAGCUAAUCUCUGAAAGCCGAUCUCAGUUCGGAUUGGAGGCUGCAACUCGCCUCCAUGAAGUCGGAAUCGCUAGUAAUCGCGGAUCAGCACGCCGCGGUGAAUACGUUCCCGGGCCUUGUACACANCGCCCGUCACACCACGAGAGUUUGUAACACCCGAA